rnacentral:lncRNA from 1 species
AUGCCAGUCCCAGUGCCGAUACUGGUCCCAGUUCCAUCCCAGUGCCAUCCCAGUACCAAUACUGGUGCUGUCCCAGUUCUAGUCCCAGUUCCAGUGCCCAUACUGGUCCCAGUUCUGAUACUGGUUCCAGUCCCAUCCCAGUGCCAUCCCAGUACCGAUACUGGUCCCGGUGCUGAUGCCAGUCCCAGUGCCAAUACUGGUCCCAGUUCCAUCCCAGUACCAAUACUGGUUCUGAUGUCAUCCCAGUUCCAUUCCAGUUCCGUCCCAGUACCGAUACUGGUCCCAGUGCUGAUGCCAGUCCCAGUUCCAGUUCCGAUACUGAUCCCAGUGCCAGUCCCAGUGCCGAUACUGGUCCUGGUGCCGUCCCAGUUCCAUCCCAGUCCCGAUACUGGUGCUGUUCCAGUGCCAUCCCAGUGCCGAUACCGCUCCCAGUGCCGGGCUUUUGGGGUUCCAGUGCCAUUUUUGGGGUGCCGGGGUGGGUUUUGGGGUGCAAGUGGGGGUUUUUGGGGUGUCGGGGGUGCCAGUUUUGGGGUGCCCAGGUUUUGGGGUGCGGGGGCCAAUUUUGGGGUGUCUGGGAGGGGUUUUGGGGUGUCGAUGUCGAUGUCAAUGUAUUGGGAUGUCAAUGUUGGGUGUC